rnacentral:tRNA from 1 species
GCCRAUGUAGCUCAGGCGGUUAGAGURCAUCCUUGGUAAGGAUGAGGUCACGGGUUCGACUCCCGUCAUUGGCU